GGAGUGAGGAGACAUGAAUUAAGACCCAGCUCUAUCAUUUACUAGCAGUGCGGACAGACUUGGGCAAAUUACUUAACCUCUCUGAGCCCCAGAUUCAUUACAAUGGCAAUUAAAUUGCACAUGAGUUUGGAGGGGAGAUUUAAACCGUUGCACUGCCACAGUGCUAUGGUUAAAUAGUUGGGUGGGCCACAGAUCUCUGAGAUCUCUUCUGGGUUUUAUGUUCCAUUGUUAUGGAGUGGAUAGGGAGGGGAUGGACCACUGUGGAUGGAGGGCUUGUGGGGUGGUGCAGAGAAUGCAUAACAUUUUAUGCAAUGAGCUGUCACCCUAGGUUGGCAAUUGUUCCCCCUGGGACAAGGGCCUAGAACACAGGACUAAUAUAGUAGGUGAUAAGAUAGGAAAGAAUCUGUUCCAACAAGCCCCGUGGUGAUUUCAGGAGGGCAGGGUCAGGUGUCCCCAUCUGGAGAGG
rnacentral:lncRNA from 1 species